rnacentral:misc_RNA from 1 species
UUUUUUUUUUUUUUUUUCAAUAGUAUAUCAAUAAUCCAUGGAUAAUUAAUGUACACUAAGCACUAAGCUCAAUUACAAUCAAAAGGGAAGCUAUGAUUAAAUUAGUCUCUUUUGUCUCAAGCUGGAUAAAAAGAGAGCAGAUUUGCAGGUAUGCAAGCAGAAUUUUUCCAAGCUCUAGCAUGCAAUUUAAGCACCUCUUUAGCCUUUUCUUUGGUCUUGCUUCCGCAAUCCACUUGAAGAACCAAACACAGCUUGGCCACAACACCAAUCUGUAACAUCUCUUGAAGAACACUUGAAGUUGUUGAGAACUU